AUUGAACGCUGGCGGAAUGCUUUACACAUGCAAGUCGAGCGGCAGCGCGGGGCAACCUGGCGGCGAGCGGCGAACGGGUGAGUAAUACAUCGGAACGUGCCCAGACGUGGGGGAUAACUACUCGAAAGAGUGGCUAAUACCGCAUACGAUCUAAGGAUGAAAGCGGGGGAUCGCAAGACCUCGCGCGUUUGGAGCGGCCGAUGGCAGAUUAGGUAGUUGGUGGGGUAAAGGCUUACCAAGCCCGCGAUCUGUAGCUGGUCUGAGAGGAUGAUCAGCCACACUGGGACUGAGACACGGCCCAGACUCCUACGGGAGGCAGCAGUCGAGAAUAGUCUACAAUGGUCGGAAGACUGAUAGUGCGACGCCGCGUGAAGGACGAAGGCCUUCGGGUUGUAAACUUCUUUAGGGUAGGGACGAAGAUGACGGCACCUCCAGAAUAAGCCACGGCUAACUACGUG
rnacentral:rRNA from 1 species